UACGAAGGGGGCUAGCGUUGCUCGGAAUCACUGGGCGUAAAGCGCACGUAGGCGGCUUUCUAAGUCAGGGGUGAAAUCCUGGAGCUCAACUCCAGAACUGCCUUUGAUACUGGAGAGCUCGAGUCCGGAAGAGGUGAGUGGAACUGCGAGUGUAGAGGUGAAAUUCGUAGAUAUUCGCAAGAACACCAGUGGCGAAGGCGGACUCACUGGUCCGGUACUGACGCUGAGGUGCGGAAAGCGUGGGGAGCAACAGGG
rnacentral:rRNA from 1 species